GCUCACUUCGGCAGCACAUAUACUAAAAUUGUAAUGAUACAAAGAUUAGCAUGGUCCCUGCAGGAGGAUGACAUGCAAAUUCGUGAAGUGUUCUAUGUUUUU
rnacentral:snRNA from 2 species